rnacentral:lncRNA from 1 species
ACUAUAAGCAAUAGGGCUAGUAUAUUCGGUGUAUGGAAGGACUGUAAGGUGUACAUGUCCAACUGGCAAGUGUCAUCUGACCUUGACCUCAUUUCAUGUUCAGUGGUUAUAGUUAAAUUUUUGUGUUUUGGUCUGUUUUUCUCAUACUAUAUGCAAUAGGGCUACUAUAUUUGUUGUAUGGAAUGAUUGUAAAGUGUACAUGUCUAGCGGGCAGAUGUCAUGUGACCUUGACCUCAUUUUCAUGGUUCAGUGGUCAAAGUUAAGUUUUUGAGUUUUGGUCUUUUUAUCUAAUGCUAUAUGCCAUAGGUCAACUAUAUUUGGU